GUGCACCCUAGCGUCAGCCUCGAGUUUGACCAGCAGCAGGGGUCGGUGUGUCCCUCUGAAUCUGAGAUCUAUGAGGCAGGAGCUGAGGACAGGAUGGCAGGAGCGCCCAUGGCUGCUGCUGUACAGCCUGCUGAGGUGACUGUUGAAGUUGGUGAGGACCUCCACAUGCACCAGGUUCGUGACCGGGAGAUGCCUGAAGCUUUGGAGUUUAACCUUUCUGCCAAUCCAGAGGCAAGCACAAUAUUCCAGAGGAACUCUCAAACAGAUGCUUUGGAGUUUAACCCUUCUGCCAAUCCAGAGGCAAGCACAAUAUUCCAGAGGAACUCUCAAACAGAUGUUGUAGAAAUAAGAAGAAGCAACUGUACAAACCAUUGUGACCUUGGAGAUACCUCAUCAUAUCACACAAAGAGAUGCAGAUAGAUCUUUGAGCAUACCUGAUGAACAGUUACACUCAUUUGCGGUUUCCACCGUGCACAUUAUGAAGAAAAGAAAUGGAGGUGGGAGUUUAAAUAACUAUUCCUCCUCCAUUCCACCGACUCCCAGCACCAGCCAGGAGGACCCUCAGUUCAGUGUUCCUCCCACUGCCAACACACCCACGCCCGUUUGCAAGCGGUCCAUGCGCUGGUCCAACCUGUUUACAUCUGAGAAAGGGAGUGACCCAGACAAAGAGAGGAAAGCCCCGGAGAAUCAUGCUGACACCAUCGGGAGCGGCAGAGCCAUCCCCAUUAAACAGGGCAUGCUCUUAAAGCGAAGUGGGAAAUGGCUGAAGACAUGGAAAAAGAAAUACGUCACCCUGUGUUCCAAUGGCGUGCUCACCUAUUAUUCAAGCUUAGGUGAUUAUAUGAAGAAUAUUCAUAAAAAAGAGAUUGACCUUCAGACAUCUACCAUCAAAGUCCCAGGAAAGUGGCCAUCCCUAGCCACAUCGGCCUGCGCACCCAUCUCCAGCUCUAAAAGCAAUGGCCUAUCCAAGGACAUGGACAUCGGGCUGGGUGACUCCAUAUGCUUCAGCCCCAGUAUCUCCAGCACCACCAGCCCCAAGCUCAACCCACCCCCCUCCCCUCAUGCCAAUAAAAAGAAACACCUAAA